GCUGAAGCGGCUGCGGGCAGCAUGCGGGAGCCGGGACGGAGCGGAGCUAAAGAAGUAAACAGGUCAUGGCACGUUUAACAAAAAGAUGACAGGCGGAUACAAAAGCUAUCCAGCAUCUUUGGGCAGCCAUUGAGAUUAUACGGAACCAGAAGCAAAUUGCCAACAUUGACUGUAUUACAAACAUCUGUCCAGAUCUCACGUGUAGCAUCCUUCUAGAAGCUCUAGGGAUGUUCCCGAGGAAGCUGUCAGACUCUUCUAGUGAAUGUUGCUGUUAGAUUGUGACCACCUGCCGGGUGAGCCUCAGAGAAUUAACCCCACAAUGCCGGGUGCAGAUAUCUGUUGGAUUAUCGCAACACUUAUGUGUGUACGUGUAUGCACAAGUUAAACUGUGACAAAAGAUGCAAAGGUUGUUAAACAGGAUUGCACACA